AGCAGCCGCGGUAAUUCCAGCUCCAAUAGCGUAUAUUAAAGUUGUUGCAGUUAAAAAGCUCGUAGUUGAAUUUCGGGGUCAGUAGAUUGGUCAUGCCUCCGGUAUGUACUGGUCUUACUGGCUCCUCCUUCCUGAUGAACCGUAAUGCCAUUAAUUUGGUGUUGCGGGGAGACUGGACUGUUACUUUGAAAAAUUAGAGUGUUUAAAGCAGGCUAACGCUUGAAUACAUUAGCAUGGAAUAAUGAAAUAGGACGUUCGAUCUUAUUUUGUUGGUUUCUAAGAUUGACGUAAUGAUUAAUAGGGAUAGUUGGGGGCAUUAGUAUUCAAUUGUCAGAGGUGUAAUUCUUGGA
rnacentral:rRNA from 1 species